AUAAAAGCCUUACUUGAUCUUCACUUUAGGCUUCCCUUUGUGUAGUUUUAGCCCAUAGGUUUGAUUAGGCUCCCUAAGCCUAUGAUUGCAAGUGUUGCACCAAAUCUGUCCCAUAUGAGUUGAAGUACGCCUCAAAUAUAUAUGGAUCAUAUGAAUAUGAUUUUGAACUCUUUUUAGAUCCAUUUGAAUGACAUAAGUUUGCUCCACACCAUUGUUAGAAAUUUGCCUUAUUGGAU
rnacentral:lncRNA from 1 species